GUCCUUUUGUAGUUCGGGGGCAUGAUUUGGUGUUCGUGCCUAAGUGUGAUAUGUGCCUCCUUCUGAACCUGGUUACAGCGCUGGCACAUUACCCAUCUAACC
ensembl:snoRNA